rnacentral:rRNA from 1 species
AACGAACGCUGGCGGCAUGCCUAACACAUGCAAGUCGAACGAGACCUUCGGGUCUAGUGGCGCACGGGUGCGUAACGCGUGGGAACCUGCCCUUAGGUUCGGCAUAACUCCCCGAAAGGGGUGCUAAUACCGGAUCAUGUCUUCGGACCAAAGAUUUAUCGCCUUUGGAUGGGCCCGCGUUGGAUUAGCUUGUUGGUAGGGUAAAAGCCUACCAAGGCGACGAUCCAUAGCUGGUCUGAGAGGAUGAUCAGCCACACUGGGACUGAGACACGGCCCAGACUCCUACGGGAGGCAGCAGUGGGGAAUAUUGGAAAAUGGGCGAAAGCCUGAUCCAGCAAUGCCGCGUGAGUGAUGAAGGCCUUAGGGUUGUAAAGCUCUUUUACCCGGGAUGAUAAUGACAGUACCGGGAGAAUAAGCUCCGGCUAACUCCGUG